UGGGGAAUAUUGCGCAAUGGGGGGAACCCUGACGCAGCCAUGCCGCGUGAAUGAAGAAGGCCUUCGGGUUGUAAAGUUCUUUCGGUAUUGAGGAAGGAGUGUAUGUUAAUAGCAUACAUUAUUGACGUUAAAUACAGAAGAAGCACCGGCUAACUCCGUGCCAGCAGCCGCGGUAAUACGGAGAGGGUGCGAGCGUUAAUCGGAAUAACUGGGCGUAAAGGGCACGCAGGCGGUUAUUUAAGUGAGGUGUGAAAGCCCCGGGCUUAACCUGGGAAUUGCAUUUCAGACUGGGUAACUAGAGUACUUUAGGGAGGGGUAGAAUUCCACGUGUAGCGGUGAAAUGCGUAGAGAUGUGGAGGAAUACCGAAGGCGAAGGCAGCCCCUUGGGAAUGUACUGACGCUCAUGUGCGAAAGCGUGGGGAGCAAACAGGAUUAGAUACCCUGGUAGUCCACGCNNUAAACGCUGUCGAUUUGGGGAUUGGGCUUAGAGCUUGGUGCCCGUAGCUAACGUGAUAAAUCGACCGCCUGGGGAGUACGGCCGCAAGGUUA
rnacentral:rRNA from 1 species